GGUAGGCUGAAAGGAUGGAUUUUUAUUCCCUGGUUGGAGAAUAGUUGUUUCCCUCUCUCUUGCUAGAUGUAACCAGGGAAGCCUGUUGCUCCCAUUGUUGCUGCCCCCAGGAGCUCCCCGAGGGCAAUGACAACACGCUGGUGAAAGGAGAACAAAACAAAUGCGGGGGAAACAGAGUCAGAGCCCCCUGCCUGUAGUUUGGACAUCUUGUUACAGGAAAUGAAAGUUUUCCUUAUUGUUUAAGCAGUGUCGAGUCAGUUUUCUAUACAUUGUGGUCCAAAGCAUUCUAACUAAUAUAGACCUCAGGAAAUGUUUGUUAAAUAAUUUGUUAAAUGAAUAAGGGCAAAAGUGAGUGGGCAGAAGAAAGCCAGGUGGGCUGAAAGGAGAGUGGAAGCGGAUCAGGGCAGAGCUGGGAUGCCGUGAGCUGGAAGUGAAUUCCUGCAAGGGGCCUUGGCCAGGGAGCUGCUGUGUGUGGGCCCGAGAGGACCCUGUGAGGCCCACUUGGGUGUCCGGGAGCUGGAGCUGUGUCGGGCAAGAGUGCUCGCCAGGGGUCCCGAUGAGUAGGAACUGAACACCGCCUGCACCCCAGGCUCGCUCCGGUGGUUCCGUCUACGGGAGCGUGAAGUUCAUUUUUGUUUGCUUAUUUAUUUACUAGAACUGCAAGUUCCAUGAGAUCAAGUACAUUGUCUUCUUUGUUCGUUGUGGAAUCCCUCCAAUGGCUAAAAUAGUGCCUGACACAAGGAGCCAAUAAGUCUGGAUCAAGAACCUCACUCAACAUGUGUCAUUAGGGUUUGCUCUGCCACUCACUCUCUGGUUACCCUGUUCCCAUGUGAAGAUGCCUCCCGGAGCACUCCCAGAACAACCGGAAGAUCAAAGCUGGCCUGCUAUCUCUUCCCUACCCUGGCAGGAGACUGAUGGUUUAUUUUCUCAAGAAACUGAGCUAGAGAAGAUAGUAGA